UAAGCAUAUGACUAAGCGGAGGAAAAGAAACUAACCAGGAUUCCCCCAGUAACGGCGAGUGAAGCGGGAAGAGCUCACCUUGAGAAUCCGGCCCUCGGGCCCGAGUUGUAGUCUGGAGAGGCGAGGCCUGCCGCUGUCCGCGGCAAAGUCUGAUUGGAAAUGAGCAUCAAGGAGGGUGAUAAUCCCGUUGAGGCCGCGGUACCAACCAGCGCGCGUAAGGCCCGUUUUCGGCGAGUCGAGUUGCUUGGGAUUGCAGCUCAAAGUGGGUGGUAAACCCCACCCAAAGCUAAACACGGGGGGGAGACCGAUAGCGAACAAGUACCGUGAGGGAAAGAUGCAAAGAACUUUGAAAAGAGAGUUAAAGAGUGCCUGAAAUUGCUGAGAGGGAAGCGAAGGAAAGUAGUGUGGGCUGCGGGUGACCUUUUCGAGUAUUUUUUUAUUUUCCCUCCGGGGGCUCGGGUAUGUCGCCCGCCUUUGUCAGGGGAGGCAGUGAGGCUUUGCGGGAAGAUCGGGGCCGGAAGGUAGCCCUCCUCGGAGGGCGGAUGAACGGCCCUGUCUAUGCGCCGCGGGCCAGGUGACCCUUGCGUAUUCAUUUACGAUCUGGCG
rnacentral:rRNA from 1 species